AUUGAACGCUGGCGGCAGGCUUAACACAUGCAAGUCGAGCGGGGUGAUGGUGCUUGCACUAUCACUUAGCGGCGGACGGGUGAGUAAUGCUUAGGAAUCUGCCUAUUAGUGGGGGACAACAUCUCGAAAGGGAUGCUAAUACCGCAUACGUCCUACGGGAGAAAGCAGGGGAUCACUUGUGACCUUGUGCUAAUAGAUGAGCCUAAGUCGGAUUAGCUAGUUGGUGGGGUAAAGGCCUACCAAGGCGACGAUCUGUAGCGGGUCUGAGAGGAUGAUCCGGCGCACUGGGACUGAGACACGGCCCAGACUCCUACGGGAGGCAGCAGUGGGGAAUAUUGGACAAUGGGGGGAACCCUGAUCCAGCCAUGCCGCGUGUGUGAAGAAGGCCUUAUGGUUGUAAAGCACUUUAAGCGAGGAGGAGGCUUACCUAGUUAAUACCUGGGAUAAGUGGACGUUACUCGCAGAAUAAGCACCGGCUAACUCUGUGCCAGCCGCCGCAGUAA
rnacentral:rRNA from 1 species